UAUUUAAUACUAUAGUGUGAUUAAUUUAGCAGCUGCAAAAAAAUGUUUUAAUGUGCUGUGUUAUUGUGAAGUGUGCAAUAAGCUACAAAUAGAUAACAUUGAUAUUUACCGUACAGUGGGUGAGUUGUUUUCAUGUGACCAGAGCUUUGGUGCUUUUGUAAUUUACUGAUAUUGUUCAUGUAUGUUUAUUUAAUAUGUUACAUAUUAUUAUUAUGCUGUAUAUUAGGUAUUGAGAGACAUGAUUGUUAGGUUUAGAUGUAUUUUAAUCUAGAAACAAUUCUACACUAUGCAUCAUCAAUAACGGAGACACUACAUGUAUUUCUUUAUUAAUCGAUGCAUACUGGUAGUAACCAAAUGUUUACGCUUUUAAAAAAUAAUGCAUAUUUAUUUGAAUUAAAUUUUUUAAAGUAGAUUUAAUUUAAUUUACAUUUUCACAGCAGUUGGUUAUGUUGGUUCUAUGAGAGAGAGAGACAGACAGACAGACAGAGAGAGAGAGAUGACAAACUGAUUCUACAAUUUCCAUGGUUGCUUUGAUUUUACUCGCAUACAUGUACAAUGUACCAGUACAUCUGACAGUGUCUGUCCUAUGCCGCAAUCUGGCACAGCAAACAGAAAAACUGUAUAUCUUUUUAUGAAAAAUGUUGAAUUUAAAAGAUGUUUAAAUGUACUUGGUUUGAAUGUUAGACAAAUUUUAGACAGGUCCCUGCUAGUAGAUGUGCUAGAUGUUGAUGAACUGUUUUUGCUUUCACUCACAAUUUUUAUUUUAUGAAUUGUGGUGAAUAUUUCCAUGUGAUUUAGUUCAGAGAGUAACUUUUGACGGAGCAUUUGUGAUCAAACUGUUGUUGUAUUAAUGAAUUAUGGAAUAAAUUAUUAUUCAUU
rnacentral:sRNA from 1 species